rnacentral:piRNA from 1 species
UGAGGCUAUACAGAAAUCAGGACUGUAA